CCACUAUGCUUAGCCCUUAACAUAGACAAUAAAAACACAAUAUUGUCCGCCAGAGAACUACAAGUGAAAAACUAGAAACUCCAAGGACUUGGCGGUGCCCCACAUCAACCUAGAGGAGCCUGUCCUAUAAUCGAUAAUCCACGCUGCACCUUACCAUUUCUAGNCAACUCAGCCUAUAUACCGCCGUCGAAAGCCUACCUUAUGAAAGAAUCAAAGUAAGCAAAAUAGUCAACAACUAAAACGUCAGGUCAAGGUGUAGCACAUGAAAUGGAAGAGAUGGGCUACAUUUUCUACCUUAGAAAACACGAACAGCACAAUGAAACCUGCACUCAAAGGCGGAUUUAGCAGUAAGACAAAAAAGAAACU
rnacentral:rRNA from 1 species